AAGCUGUGUGGAGAGCUAAGUUCGUUUGAAGGCAUUCGAGAUGGGGAAAGACUAUUAUAGCAUUUUGGGAAUUGAAAAAAGAGGCUCAGAUGAAGAUAUUAAAAAGGCUUACUGAAAACAAGCCCUCAAAUUCCAUCCGGACAAGAACAAAUCUCCUCAGGCAGAGGAAAAAUUUAAAGAGGUCGCAGAAGCUUAUGAAGUAUUGAGUGAUCCUAAAAAGAGAGAAAUAUAUGAUCAGUUUGGGGAAGAAGGAUUGAAAGGAGGAGCAGGAGGUACCGAUGGACAAGGAGGUACCUUCCGGUACACUUUUCAUGGUGAUCCUCAUGCCACCUUUGCAGCAUUUUUUGGAGGCUUUAACCCCUUUGAAAUUUUGUUUGGAAGACAGAUGGGAGGUGGCAGAGAUUCUGAAGAGAUGGAAAUAGACGGCGAUCCUUUCAGUGCAUUUGGAUUCAGCAUGAACGGAUAUCCUAGAGACAGGAAUUCUGUGGGGCAUUCCCGUCUUAAACAAGACCCUCCAGUGAUUCAUGAACUUCGAGUCUCUCUAGAAGAGAUAGACAGUGGUUGCACAAAAUGGAUGAAAAUUUCUCGAAAAAGAUUAAACCCUGAUGGAAGGAGUUACAGAUCUGAGGACAAAAUUCUCACCAUUGAGAUUAAAAAGGGGUGGAAAGAAGGCACCAAAAUUACUUUUCCAAGGGAGGGAGAUGAAACACCGAAUAGUAUCCCUGCAGACAUUGUUUUCAUUAUUAAAGACAAAGAUCACCCAAAAUUCAAAAGAGAUGGAUCAAAUAUAAUUUAUACUGCUAAAAUUAGCUUACGGGAGGCCCUGUGUGGCUGCUCAAUCAAUGUGCCAACAAUGGAUGGAAGAAACAUACCCAUGUCAGUAAAUGACAUUGUGAAGCCCGGGAUGAGGAGGAGGAUUAUUGGAUAUGGCCUGCCUUUUCCAAAAAACCCUGACCAGCGUGGUGACCUUCUAAUAGAAUUUGAUGUGUCC